rnacentral:lncRNA from 1 species
AUGACGGCUGUUCUACCUCCCUGGACCCUAAAAUGCCAAUUAACACUCUUGCUGUAAAAAAGCUCAUCUCUUUCGUGAAGUGCAUGAUGUAAGAUGACUUGAGCAUCUUUUGGUGCUGCUGAUAUCCUUUUGCUGAGAGAUGGAAGAGGCACUUCCAGGUCCCUAUGAUUUACUUGGAAAAGUCCUCAUGCUUAUUGUGAAGAAGGCUCCAAAAGUGGAAAUUCUUUUUAAAAACGUGUGGUGCACAUAAAAAUUAUCUCUAGAAUAGCCAGAAGACUCCAUGGAGAAAAUGGACAGACAACCGAAUGAAGCAAAAUAUAUCCUCAAGUAAUAAUGCAGCUUUUUGUCCUCUGUUCUCAUGCUGAGUGAAAGAAGAAUAACAGGUCCCUAUGAGUGAGUUAACUACUCUUCCUCCAGACUGUGAACAAGCCUCCACGAGUGAAAAGAAUCUGCUAAAUAAUCAAAAAACUCCUUGGAGAAAAUGGACAGAUAGCCAAAUGAAAGGAAAUAUACCCUCAACUUAUAAUGCAGCUUUUUGUCCUCUGCUGUCAUACUGGAUGAAUGAAGAAUUCUAGCUUCCUUUGAAUGAGUUAAAAAUUCUUCCUUCAAAUUGUGAACAAGCCUGCACAAGGUAAGAGUAACAGUAAAUAGUGGGAAACAGGCUUCACAAUUGUGUGCAUUUUUU